rnacentral:rRNA from 1 species
UUAAUUAAAUGAGUCUAAGUCCAAAUUAGACUCACUUAACACAUGAACCAAAUUGGGUCCAACUCAAUUAGCUCAAUUUGGAUUACUCUUAAUCCAAUUUGGUUCAUCACAUGAACCUAAUCCUUUAGGUUCAUCAAAUGAACCUAAUCUACAUCUAAUUGCCCUUUGUGUAUGACCCUAUAGGUUCUUAUAACGUUGUCAAUGCUCCUAAACUCAUUUAGAAGCAUAAGUUAUGAGCGGUAUCUAGCAACACAUCAUUACUACCCUAGUUAUAAGAAUGUUGAGAUCCAACAUCACCUUGUGACUACUAAUUGUGUCUCUUCACAAUAUAUGACAAGUGUCCUUCUAUCCUUGACAUCUAGAUUGAUCAAUAUGAGGCAUAAACUGGGUCAUCCUCUAAUCAAUCUAAAUCUUGAACUCCAAGUAGACUCACUCAAUCAAAUGAGCUCAAUAUCUCAUGUUGACUCAUUUGGGCAUGGUCAUGCACUUAGUGGUCUCACUCUAUCAAGAAUAUCGAUGUCACUCCCGUCAUAUAGGAGGGAUAGAUCCCAUCUACAUCACUCACAUCCCUCCGCAUAAUUUGUUACAUACCCAGUAAUCGCCUUUAUAGUCCACCCAGUUACGGGUGACGUUUGACAAAGCCAAAGUACGUAACUCCUUAUGUAGGGAACCAUGAUGACUUUAGGUCCAAGGACUAGUAGUGUUACUAAUAGCCACAUGAGAAAGUAUAUGACACUCAUAUAACGAUCCGUGAUACUUUCUCAUGGCGGGUCAUUCAGUAUACUUUCUCCAAUGCAUACCUAUGUGUCAACUUGAUAUCUCUAUAUCCAUGACUUGUGAGAUCAAGUCAUCGAGUUGACAUACAUGCUAGUCUCGUCGCAUUAACAUUGUCCCUGAAUGUUAAUACUCGACUAGGAAUGAUUAAGAGUAGUGUUCCCUAUAUCAUCUCACUAUCGGUUCAACUAACCGAUUGAUAUAGGUGAGAACCAUCUACUCAAGGAUGUUAUUAUACUUAGUUUAUUUGGCACCAAUACAAGUAAGUAUAAUAACCAAAAACUAAAUGCCUUUAUUUAUAUAUAGAAGAAUAUGAUAUAAUGAGUCCAUACAACAAUCCUCAAAUGAUUGGCUCUAGGGCUCUAACUAAUAUCUUGGCCGAAACUUGGAAGGAGGAAGAAGAAGUUUCAUCUAGAGGAGAAGAGAAAAAUGAAAAUUAGGUUUUGAUCUCAUCCAUCCCCUUUUAUACUAAGUGGAAGUUGAAGGAUCACUUCACACAUAAUCUACACAUAAUGAAUUGUUCAUAUUACUCAUGUGUGCUUUACCACCACCCUAAUGGUAACUUUAACCAAUCUUAAAUAAAAGGUCUUGGAUUCAAUCCUAGCCCAAGGCCAUUUAUAAAUCUAUUUUUAUUUCUUUUAUCUUCUCUUAUUUCUUUUCUCUUUU